rnacentral:tRNA from 1 species
GUAGCUCAGUUGGUAGAGCAAGUGACUUUUAAUCACUGCGGAUGCAGAUUUAGUCACGAUACGAUAGUUGUCAUGUGAUACUUGGAUGUCCCAAAGUCUUUAACUUAACGUUGGAGACUGAUAUGACUUUUGAACAACACGAUCUUUUCGACUUCACACCGUCUACACCA